AACGAACGCUGGCGGCAGGCUUAACACAUGCAAGUCGAGCGCCCCGCAAGGGGAGCGGCAGACGGGUGAGUAACGCGUGGGAACAUACCCUUUCCUGCGGAAUAGCUCCGGGAAACUGGAAUUAAUACCGCAUACGCCCUACGGGGGAAAGAUUUAUCGGGGAAGGAUUGGCCCGCGUUGGAUUAGCUAGUUGGUGGGGUAAAGGCCUACCAAGGCGACGAUCCAUAGCUGGUCUGAGAGGAUGAUCAGCCACAUUGGGACUGAGACACGGCCCAAACUCCUACGGGAGGCAGCAGUGGGGAAUAUUGGACAAUGGGCGCAAGCCUGAUCCAGCCAUGCCGCGUGAGUGAUGAAGGCCUUAGGGUUGUAAAGCUCUUUCACCGGAGAAGAUAAUGACGGUAUCCGGAGAAGAAGCCCCGGCUAACUUCGUGCCAGCCGCCGCCGUAAAAC
rnacentral:rRNA from 1 species